rnacentral:rRNA from 2 species
AAGGUAAGUAAGCUUUCAAGGGCAAAUGGUGGAUGCCUUGGGUGAUAGAGGCGAUGAAGGACGUACUAGACUGCGAUAAGCUACGGGGAGCUGUCAAGAAGCUUUGAUCCGUAGAUUUCCGAAUGGGGCAACCCAAUAUACAGCAAUGUAUAUUACCUUUAAUGGAGCGAACCUAGCGAAGUGAAACAUCUCAGUAGCUAGAGGAAAAGAAAUCAAACGAGAUUCUCUUAGUAGCGGCGAGCGAACGGGGAAGAGGGCAAACCGAAUGCUUGCAUUCGGGGUUGUGGACUGCAAUAUCCACUUAGAGAAUCUAGCAGAAGUAUUUGGAAAAGUACAUCACAGAGGGUGAUAGUCCCGUAUGCGAAAGAUUCUUUAUAGGUAGCAGUAUCCAGAGUAAGCCAGGACACGUGAAAUCCGGGCCGAAGCCGGGGAGACCACUCUCCAACCCUAAAUACUACUAUCACACCGAUAGCGCACAAGUACCGUGAGGGAAAGGUGAAAAGAACCGCAGUGAGCGGAGUGAAAUAGAACCUGAAACCAUUUGCCUACAAUCAUUCAGAGCCCUAUUGUGAGUCCCUUUGAGGAAUCUGCUUAUGCUUUUGAGUGAUUUUGCGGGAGCUUGUUGUUCAAUUUCGGAGAUGAACUUUAUGUUCUAUCUCCUCAUUUCACAACAGCGCAACCCACAAACUCAUCUCAAAAUCAUUGCACGAUGGAUUUAAUAGAAUCUAUGCAGACACAAAAUUCUAGUAUUUUAAGAUGAUUUUAGUGGCUGUCAAGAAAAAGCUGCAGGGAGCUACCUAGGCGGUAGUGACCAAAGCUUUUUCGCAGACUCCGCUAAAAGCACUCAAAAGACGAAUUUACCUUGAUUCUUCAGAGGGAUUCACAAGGGUGAUGGACUGCCUUUUGCAUAAUGAUCCUGCGAGUUGUGGUAUCUGGCAAGGUUAAGCAAACGCGAAGCCGUAGCGAAAGCGAGUCUGAAAGGGCGCUUAGUCAGAUGCUGCAGACCCGAAGCGAAGUGAUCUAUCCAUGGCCAAGUUGAAGUAAGUGUAAUAGCUUAUGGAGGACUGAACUCGUACCCAUUGAAACGGGUUGGGAUGAGCUGUGGAUAGGGGUGAAAGGCCAAACAAACUUCGUGAUAGCUGGUUCUCUUCGAAAUAUAUUUAGGUAUAGCCUCAAGUAAUAGUAAUAGGGGGUAGAGCUCUGAUUGGGCUAGGGCUGCUCACCGCGGUACCAACCCCUGUCAAACUUCAAAUACCUAUUACCGUAUCUUGGGAGUCAGGCGGUGGGUGAUAAAAUCAAUCGUCAAAAGGGGAACAACCCAGACUACCAACUAAGGUCCCAAAGUUCUAUUCUAAGUGGAAAAUGAUGUGAAGUUACUCAGACAACCAGGAGGUUGGCUUAGAAGCAGCCAUCCUUUAAAGAAAGCGUAACAGCUCACUGGUCUAGUGAUUUUGCGCAGAAAAUAUAACGGGGCUAAGAUAGACACCGAAGUUGUAGAUUAUGCUGAUGCAUAGUGGUAGAAGAGCGUUCGUAUUGCGUUGAAGGUAUAUCGGUAAGAAGUGCUGGAGCGAUGCGAAGUGAGCAUGCAGGAAUGAGUAGCGAUAAAAUAUGUGAGAAUCAUAUUCGCCGAAAGUCUAAGGUUUCCUACGCGAUGCUCGUCAUCGUAGGGUUAGUCGGGUCCUAAGCCAAGUCCGAAAGGGGUAGGCGAUGGAAAAUAGGUUAAUAUUCCUAUACCAAUAGUAGUGUGCGAUGGAAGGACGCAUAGGGUUAGGUGAGCCAACUGAUGGAAGUGUUGGUCUAAGAGCGUAGAUUGGGGGAGAGGCAAAUCCGCCCCUGUAUUCGAAACUUGAAAGGCUCUUUGAAGUCUUCGGAUGGAAAGGAGAAUCACUGAUACCGUCGUGCCAAGAAAAGUUUCUAAGUUUAGCUACUAUUGCCCGUACCGCAAACCGACACAGGUAGAUGAGAUGAGUAUUCUAAGGCGCGUGAAAGAACUCUGGUUAAGGAACUCUGCAAACUAGCACCGUAAGUUCGCGAUAAGGUGUGCCUAAGCAAUUAGGUCUCAGCAAAGAGUCCCUCCCGACUGUUUACCAAAAACACAGCACUUUGCAAACUCGUAAGAGGAAGUAUAAGGUGUGACGCCUGCCCGGUGCUCGAAGGUUAAAAGGAUUAGUUAGCAGCAAUGCGAAGCUUUGAAUUGAAGCCCGAGUAAACGGCGGCCGUAACUAUAACGGUCCUAAGGUAGCGAAAUUCCUUGUCGGUUAAAUACCGACCUGCAUGAAUGGCGUAACGAGAUGGGAGCUGUCUCAACCAGGGAUUCAGUGAAAUUGUAGUGGAGGUGAAAAUUCCUCCUACCCGCGGCAAGACGGAAAGACCCCGUGGACCUUUACUACAGCUUGGCACUGCCGAUGGGAACAUUAUGCGCAGGAUAGGUGGGAGGCUUUGAAAUCUUCACUCUGGUGGAGAUGGAGCCAUCCUUGAGAUACCACCCUUAAUGUUUCUGUCUGCUAACUGGCUAGAGUUAUCCUCUAGCAGGACAAUGUCUGGUGGGUAGUUUGACUGGGGCGGUCGCCUCCUAAAAAGUAACGGAGGCUUGCAAAGGUUGGCUCAUUGCGGUUGGAAAUCGCAAGUAGAGUGUAAUGGCAUAAGCCAGCCUGACUGUAAGACAAACAAGUCGAGCAGAGACGAAAGUCGGUCAUAGUGAUCCGGUGAUUCUGUGUGGAAGGGUCAUCGCUCAAAGGAUAAAAGGUACCCCGGGGAUAACAGGCUGAUCUCCCCCAAGAGCUCACAUCGACGGGGAGGUUUGGCACCUCGAUGUCGGCUCAUCGCAUCCUGGGGCUGGAGCAGGUCCCAAGGGUAUGGCUGUUCGCCAUUUAAAGCGGUACGCGAGCUGGGUUCAGAACGUCGUGAGACAGUUCGGUCCCUAUCUGCCGUGGGCGUAGGAGAGUUGAGGAGAGCUGUCCCUAGUACGAGAGGACCGGGAUGGACAUGCCACUGGUGUAUCAGUUGUUCUGCCAAGAGCAUCGCUGAGUAGCUACGCAUGGAUGUGAUAACCGCUGAAAGCAUCUAAGCGGGAAGCCAACUCCAAGAUUAACUCUCCCUGAAGGUCGCAGCAAGACUAGCUGCUUGAUAGGGUAGGUGUGUAAGCAUAGUAAUAUGUUUAGCUGACUACUACUAAUAGACCGCUUGGCUUAUUUAUAAAA